rnacentral:snoRNA from 1 species
CUUGUUGCUGCUGCUGCUGCUGCUGCUGCUGCAGCAGCAGCAGCAGCAGCAGCAAAGAAGCAAAAACGCCCUACGUUAAGUGUCUACACU